AAGGUCAACCCUCUCUCCAGUGCUGUCACUUCAGAUAUGCUAGUACAUUAGUACUACUACUGUGAUAAUAAUGCAUUAUUGCACCAGUGAACAUAUCAUAUUGGACCCAGAUCUGGUGCCAAAUGGAGUUAGAAAAAUAAUGUACGUCCUAACUGUUGUAGCAUGCAUUGACUUUGGCAGGUUGAGGUCAUCGUGGUGAUUGGCCACAGCCGCUGCGGUGGAAUCAAGGCACUCCUCUCGCUCAAGGAUGGUGCAGAUGACAGCUUGUAAGUAUAGUAAAACACCUCAAAUCCCCACAGGGCGGUGAAUUACAGUAGUACAAAGCUUCUGUUGCUCUGUUAAUUCUGACUCGAGCUCUCCGGCCGUCUGUUUGAUCGUUCAGCCACUUCGUCGAGGACUGGGUCAGGAUCGGGUUCCCGGCCAAGAAGAAGGUGCAGACCGAGUGCGCCUCCAUGCCUUUCGAUGACCAAUGCGCCGUCUUGGAAAAGGUUCGUACGACCACAUGAUACUUUGUGAUGACUUGGCCACUGCUGGAAUACUCGAACUAUAUAUUCUGCUGACUUGCUGUGCUGACGAAGAAAAUAUUCUGGGAUUUCUACAGGAGGCCGUGAACGUGUCCCUCGAGAACCUCAAGACCUACCCGUUCGUCAAGGAAGGCGUCGCCAACGGAACCCUCAAGCUCGUGGGCGGCCACUACGACUUCGUCUCCGGCAAGUUCGACACAUGGGAGCUCUAAGUCCUCUCAUCCGGUUAACUCCUAUACAUACAACGUAUACUUAUACAUACAGAUAUGGAGAUGACCCUACAGAUCGAUCCAUUGAUGUGGAUGCGAUGCCAUGGAGUAUAUGUACUCGCUAUUUUCCAGUACUGCAUGCCGGAUGGCUCGAUGUGAAUUUGUAAUAAGCAAUAGAAGUUUCUACCAUUUUCUGACGUGGGGUUGUACUUGUGAUGCGUAAUUUGGUCAUCUUGUGACCAAAAGACAUCAACUAUAUAAUUAUAAUACCAUUUUCAUCAAGACUCUGUAUUUGUGUUACAUUGAGGGGUUUUAUAGGUACUCCAUAAAGACAGAUGAUAGUACCAUUCAAAUCUAACCCUCCAUUUAAUAGAAUAUAUUAGACAUU
rnacentral:lncRNA from 1 species